AGAGUUUGAUCCUGGCUCAGGACGAACGCUGGCGGCGCGCCUAACACAUGCAAGUCGAACGAGAGAUGAGGAGCUUGCUCUUCAAAUCGAGUGGCGAACGGGUGAGUAACGCGUGAGGAACCUGCCUCAAAGAGGGGGACAACAGUUGGAAACGACUGCUAAUACCGCAUAAGCCCACAGCUCGGCAUCGAGCAGAGGGAAAAGGAGUGAUCCGCUUUGAGAUGGCCUCGCGUCCGAUUAGCUAGUUGGUGAGGUGACGGCCCACCAAGGCGACGAUCGGUAGCCGGACUGAGAGGUUGAACGGCCACAUUGGGACUGAGACACGGCCCAGACUCCUACGGGAGGCAGCAGUGGGGAAUAUUGCACAAUGGGGGAAACCCUGAUGCAGCGACGCCGCGUGGAAGAAGAAGGUCUUCGGAUUGUAAACUCCUGUUGUUGAGGAAGAUAAUGACGGUACUCAACAAGGAAGUGACGGCUAACUACGUGCCAGCAGCCGCGGUAAAACGUAGGUCACAAGCGUUGUCCGGAAUUACUGGGUGUAAAGGGAGCGCAGGCGGGAGAACAAGUUGGAAGUGAAAUCCAUGGGCUCAACCCAUGAACUGCUUUCAAAACUGUUUUUCUUGAGUAGUGCAGAGGUAGGCGGAAUUCCCGGUGUAGCGCGAAUGCGUAGAUAUCGGGAGGAACACCAGUGGCGAAGGCGGCCUACUGGGCACCAACUGACGCUGAGGCUCGAAAGUGUGGGUAGCAAACGGGAUUAGAUACCCUGGUAGUCCACACCGUAAACGAUGAUUACUAGGUGUUGGAGGAUUGACCCCUUCAGUGCCGCAGUUAACACAAUAAGUAAUCCACCUGGGGAGUACGACCGCAAGGUUGAAACUCAAAGGAAUUGACGGGGGCCCGCACAAGCAGUGGAGUAUGUGGUUUAAUUCGACGCAACGCGAAGAACCUUACCAAGUCUUGACAUCCCUUGACGAUACUGGAAACAGUAUUUCUCUUCGGAGCAAGGAGACAGGUGGUGCAUGGUUGUCGUCAGCUCGUGUCGUGAGAUGUUGGGUUAAGUCCCGCAACGAGCGCAACCCUUAUGGUCAGUUACUACGCAAGAGGACUCUGGCCAGACUGCCGUUGACAAAACGGAGGAAGGUGGGGAUGACGUCAAAUCAUCAUGCCCUUUAUGACUUGGGCUACACACGUACUACAAUGGCGUUAAACAAAGAGAAGCAAGACCGCGAGGUGGAGCAAAACUCAGAAACAACGUCCCAGUUCGGACUGCAGGCUGCAACUCGCCUGCACGAAGUCGGAAUUGCUAGUAAUCGUGGAUCAGCAUGCCACGGUGAAUACGUUCCCGGGCCUUGUACACACCGCCCGUCACACCAUGAGAGCCGGGGGGACCCGAAGUCGGUAGUCUAACCGCAAGGAGGACGCCGCCGAAGGUAAAACUGGUGAUUGGGGUGAAGUCGAAACAAGGU
rnacentral:rRNA from 1 species